GCACUGCCUAUUUCGCAAUCAUCAAGUGAUCGGAACAGCAUCGUGUAACUCAGUGUAACUCACUGUAGUAUCUCUUUUGUUGACGAACACUCACGGGAAACGUCAACAUAAAAUGUAAACAAUGUUUGUUUAUAAAUUGAAAUCCAUGGAUUCAAAGUUGGAAAUUUUUUCAUUUAAUUAUCACCGGUGUUCAAAGUUGGUGCAUUUCCAAGGUAAGUUUUCAAGCUUAUUUUCGCAACAUUGAUCCUCUUGAGCUCAAUUUGCAGAUUUCAGUUUCCUUCUAAUGUUUUUAUUUCUCUUGUCGGUUUCAGCUAAAACUGCGGUGAGGAUAAAUCCGGAAAGGCCGAAAUUGCUUCCCCAAAAAUCACCAGGUAAGUAUUGUUUUGAUUGUGUUAGCCUUCCGCUAAAACACAUCCGAAAAUCAGCUUUUCAUCAGCUGUUAAAGUGAUUAUUUUUCUGUGUUUUUUUUUCUAGAUUUCACACCUGGACUGAACUAAGCAGUUGAAGUGGAAGAAAAUAAACAGCAGAUAAUCUUAAGGGUAAGUUUUAUGUAUCGUUCAACUAUUGGACAGAUACUUAUAUUGUUUCUGGCUUUUUUUUCUAUUUUCAGGUUUCGAGUCACCACGGAUAGGGCACCGAUGACACUCAUCAGCGGCCAUGGACUGGUGAAAAACAGCAACUCGUAGUGGCCCUUUUCAACGACCUCGCAAACCAUCGAGAAGUUAUAAUUCGUAAUUUUAUUCGGUCUAAUAAUUCUUUUUUUUCUAUUUUAGUUGUCUUGAAUGAAUCAAAUUUUAGUUCAACUAAGUAUUUCUGCACUGGAAUCCGAAAUUCCCUCAACAUCAAUUUCUUCAAACCAACCUGAUUAUUCUAAAAUGAUUUGUAAGCUAAAUGUUCUGUGAACCAUCAAUUCUUUCACCCGGAAAGAAGACGAGCGAAAAUGCCACAAUUUUCUACAAGAAGUAGCUAUUCAAUUCAAAAUCCUGAACCUGACGAGGAUCUAGGAAUCAUUCGGUUAUUGUAAUCAUCAAUGAUUUGUAAUCGGCAAAUCUUUAGUCGGUUUAUCGUUCUUAAGAGGUGUCAAAGAACAUCGUGAUCUUUGCAAAGGAAUAAUCAAUAUUUGGCUCGUUUCGUUUAGAUAGAUUGAAAAGUCGUAAUCAGUAUUUUUGUUCAAUUUGGUACCAUAGACCAAAUGAACUGAAUGGUUCGGACAAAAUAGGGUUUCAUAUUUUACUUAUGACAAGCAGUGUUUUAAGAUUUUUCCCAUUUGCAUGGGGAUCGAUUUUAAUUUCAUAACGCAAAACUACAAAAACGUAAUCUCGGAAUCUACAAUUGUGGCUUCAAGUUAGGGUAACUGGACUGAAACUUGGAUGAGAUAUUUAAUUUUGAGAUUAAAAUUGAUUCAUUCACUUUUCCGUUUCUCUUGCCUACAGUUACAUCAACGUAUCGCGCUAUUUCCGGUUUCUUAUCCGUACGAAUAAGCUAGUUUGAACACGCGAACACGGAUUAUCUUUCGUCAUCGCGGUUGGUUUUACUUUCUGAAAAAUUAUCGCGUUUUCCGGCAAUCUGUUUCGUAAAAUCCAGAAAAUCGUAUGAACGACUCGAUAUUGGUAACGGAUCACGCUAAGACUUUUGAAAUUGUUUCGAUGUUCCUUGUAAAACUUUCGAAAUAUUUUUAUCGAACAAGGGUUUCUAGCUACCGCGCGCGAAUAGUUAGCAUGAAAAAUUUCGAUUCGGGGCAAGAAAAAUCUAUUUUCGUUUCGCGGGUUAUCUGUUUUUGGGAGGUAACUUUUCCGUUUUUGAUUCCGACACACGUCUCAUCAGGGCCACAAUAAUGGGCGUAAGCUAUCCGGAAAUGAUUUCAAGGCGGAAUCUCGUAGUUCGAGGUGUAUUUUGCUUCGCGGCAGAAUGCAGCAAACCUGGUGUUUUUUGUUAACGUGGGUGGAGAAAUUUUAUUUGAAAAUACGUCGAACAUCCCCCGAACGUUGGGGUUCGUCAUUCAUAUCCCCUUCGCGGCGUUGGCUGAAAUCACCAUUACUAUUCCGACUAUCAAGAGCAGUCAUUUCUCUCGGAGAAUUCUUUUCACACGGGAAAAGCCUAGGAAACAUUUUGUAAUUUUCCGAAUCAACUAAAAUUUUACGCGCUUGAUCUCGACGGUACUUUCGAAACGGUUUCACGAAGCGCGAAGAAACUUUACACUCCUCUAUCUUGGUAAUAACGCGACACGCGCCUUCUACAGGGUUAUCUUCUACCUUUUCAGUUUCUUUCCUACACACGUUCAUUUUCGUAAAUUUUUAGAUUGUUUCCGGUUGUUUUAGCUGUUGUCGAUUGAAAAUUUGCUUGUAUUAGCUUCGAGACAGAGGGCUUGAUUAAGUGCCACUAAAUAAUGAGAGACGAGGAGUAAUCGGAUCACGAAUUGCCAACUGCAACGGCCUGAUUCACUCCAGUCCUCUUCCGGAUCGGCUACUUCCAGAUACUUUUAGCCUCGACCAACAAUCAAACUUAUCUUGAUGUUCGUAAUUUGGUAAAGAUGUUAACGAAUCCAAUUAUUGGAAUUUUUUCUAAAAUCCUAUCGAUUUCCGAAAAUCGCUGGACCACUACACACUAAGAUUGCAAAUUCUACCAUCGGGAUAAUGACUCUCCGAACCACAGGGAAAUUGCUUAAAUUGUUCGAAGUUCGUAUGGGAAUCCUCCCAAAUCCAGGGACGCUUCAUCUCUCCUGAAAUCUGGGACAACAUUUUUAUGAAUGCACAGGAACUCGAACAACCGUCCUGUAUCACGGGAAUACUUUAGCCACGUUCAGCUGUCAACCGUUUUCUGUCGCGUUUUUCAUAGUUUAUCCUUUUCUAUCAUAUGCGUGAUGUACUGUAUAGUUUCUGCUCGUGCGGUCAAUUAAAAGUUGACGGGAGUUGCUGAAAGUUUGGCAGGAAGGAUAUUUUAUUGCUAUGGAUCCACUGACGAAUUGGAUUAAAACCCGUGUGCAUCAUCCGGAUCAGAACCUUUCGAGAAUGAGGCUAAUCGGACGCAAGAUGCUUUACCCCGGUGUGGGAUCUUAUAGGCCACCACCCCAAAACCCAAGAUCUUAAAUGCCAGGUUCGCACGGCGUCUUGAUUAAGUGUCCUGCCUGUGUUUUGUGUUGCGGUUAAAAUGUGGCCACAUAACUUAACAAUACUUUAAAAUGAGAAAAAAAACGUUUCAAAAUAAAUUUCAAUCUAUUUGCCUAACAAUUGUUUUUGGUUUUUAAUAGUGCAUUGGGAUUUAUUUUAAUAAUAAAAAAGAAAUAAAAGGGAGGGAAAAGAUUUCUCAGUUAACUGAAAAUCUCGGGAGAACGCCUUUUCGAACUCACAGGUCGAUUUGACAGUUGUUUUCCUGAGCACUUUUUCUGUCCCGAGAUUUGUCCUGUAAUUUCAGCUGUUGAAAAUACAGGACAAAAUCGUCCCGAUCACAGGAAAAAAGAUUAAGUGUGUAGGUUAUAAAGGGCAAUAAUUGAUAUGUACAGUACAGUUAAAUAAGAAAAAAAAACGAUUGAUCUCAUUCCUAAGUUUGCGCUUGUUAAAAUAGGCCAGAAACGCUGAUCUCUAUUCCUUUAUUGAUUUCACAUUAUUCUACGGUCGUUAUGCGCAGAUGCUUGAUACUCUCAUUAUCUGGUUCUUCGUUCUAGAAAGCUGAUUUAACUCUCAUCCGCAUUAGAGUGUCAUUUUGACACUGUUGCAAGUUUGAAGGCUUGUAACUUUUUUCAGAAGCUUCAAAAUACAAAAAUUUCUU